GUGUGCCACAUAUUAAGAAAAAUUGGAUGACAUGAGGUAAAAAAAAGUUGGAUCACUUAAUAUAUGGAACAACACUCCUCCCUCCCCUUUCUUUAGCCCCAGAUUUCCUCAGGCGCCAUGUGGGGGAUGCUCUCAUUUCCGCGUUAUGUAAUCAGUUCCUAGGUCAACAGGAAGUCCCAGAAAAGGGAACUUCCUGUAGGCGUGAGAGGGAAGAGGAAGCCAGAUUGUGGCAAAACCACAAUCCUUGCUUACAAGGACGAUGAGGCAGAAGUGGGAGAUGCCAUAAGAUUUCUGUCCUGUCCUUCUAGUACCUGUGUGCUAUGAUGCAGCUCUUCCUUUCACUGCUGACCCAGAACGUAAAAGCCAUGUCGUGGCAAGGAGACAGCUGCCCAUUAUUCAGAAAAGGGCUGAGAGCAACUGAACUUUCGCACACAGGCCAACAAGCAGACCCCCAGCCAGUGACAGCCAGCUUUUGAACACUACCCACCUUGCCUAGUCCAAGAACUGAUAACAAACAAACAAGAGGCUUGUGUUCAUCCCCUCCCCAUUGAUAUACCUGCUCUGAGAGUUGAGC